UACAGAGACUGCGAGCGUUAUUCGGAUUCACUGGGCGUAAAGGGUGCGCAGGCGGCCAGGUGUGUGAGGCGUGAAAUCCCGGGGCUUAACCCCGGAAUUGCACCUCAAACUACAUGGCUAGAGCAUUGGAGAGGGUAGCAGAAUUCACGGUGUAGCAGUGAAAUGCGUAGAUAUCGUGAGGAAUACCAGAGGCGAAGGCGGCUACCUGGACAAUUGCUGACGCUCAGGCACGAAAGCGUGGGGAGCAAAAGGG
rnacentral:rRNA from 1 species